AACACAUUAUUUCUAAUAUAUCAUGAAAACAAAAUCAAAAGGCGGAAAAAAAAAAAAAACAGCGGAAUUUGGUUCCGCAGACAUCUCACUGUUCAUAUCAAAUUUCUUGCUGUAAUUGACUAGAUUACGUAAAAUUGAAAAUUUUAAAUCAUACUAGAUACAAUAAAGAUUAAAAGCCCUAAUUAUUGAACUCAUUUUGUUCAAAAUAUGCCGUGAAAUAAAUCAAAUGGCGGAAAAAAAAAAAAACCCAAAGUUCUUACCUGUUUUUGUGAACCGAAGCCUUCAAUCUCCAAAAAACUC
rnacentral:lncRNA from 1 species